GACGAACGCUGGCGGCGUGCUUAACACAUGCAAGUCGAACGAAGAGCGAUGGAAGCUUGCUUCUAUCAAUCUUAGUGGCGAACGGGUGAGUAACGCGUAAUCAACCUGCCCUUCAGAGGGGGACAACAGUUGGAAACGACUGCUAAUACCGCAUACGAUCCAAUCUCGGCAUCGAGGAUGGAUGAAAGGUGGCCUCUAUUUAUAAGCUAUCACUGAAGGAGGGGAUUGCGUCUGAUUAGCUAGUUGGAGGGGUAACGGCCCACCAAGGCGAUGAUCAGUAGCCGGUCUGAGGGGAUGAACGGCCACAUUGGGACUGAGACACGGCCCAGACUCCUACGGGAGGCAGCAGGGGGGAACCUUCCGAAAUGGACGAAAGUCUGACGGAGCAACGCCGCGGGGGGGAUGACGGCCUUCGGGUUGUAAAGCUCUGUUAAUGGGGACGAAAGGUCCUCUUGGAAAAAGUUAGGGGAAUUGACGGUCCCGGAAAAGAAAGCCCCGGCUAACUACGU
rnacentral:rRNA from 1 species